rnacentral:misc_RNA from 1 species
CUCUCUCUCUCUCUCUUCUCUCUGGCCUGCGAAAGCUAGGAGAAUAGGAGAAGGCAUCGCCAUUGCCCAUUUAUCGGGCCAAGAAAUUCGGAUUCUCUCAGAUCCGGAUAGUAUAAAAAAUCUUCCAUCUAUCCGAUCCGAAUCAGCGAUGACUAGGCGGUGCUCGCAUUGCAGCCACAACGGUCACAACUCGCGGACCUGCCCUAACCGCGGGGUCAAGCUCUUCGGGGUCCGAUUGACCGACGGGUCGAUCAGGAAAAGUGCUAGCAUGGGCAAUUUAAGCCAUUACACAGGGUCUCCCAAUCCCGCUGGGGCCCACGCAUCCGGGUCCAACAACCCCGGAUCCCCUGGAGGAGAUACACCCGACCACGGCGGAGCUGCUGACGGCUACGCUUCUGAGGAUUUCGUUCCUGGUUCUUCUUCGAGCCGUGAGCGAAAGAAAGGUGUUCCAUGGACUGAAGAGGAGCAUAGGAUGUUUCUAUUUGGCCUGCAGAAGCUUGGCAAAGGCGAUUGGCGUGGAAUUGCACGCAGUUAUGUUAUAUCAAGGACACCUACUCAGGUGGCCAGUCAUGCUCAAAAAUAUUUCAUCAGGCAAACCAAUGUUUCUAGGAGGAAAAGACGGUCCAGCCUGUUUGAUAUAGUAGCUGAUGAACCGGUUGAUACUCCAAUGGCAUCACAAGACUUCUUGACUGUCAACGAUGCUCGGGCUGAAACACAUACCGAUAAUCCUGAUCCUUUACCUGCUGCUCCUCCUUUGGAAGAAGAAUGUGAAUCAAUGGAUUCCACCAACUCCAAUGAGGGAGAAGCUGUUCCUCCAAAGCCAGAUAGCUCACAGUCCUUCUACCCAGUUAUAUACCCAGCUUAUUUUCCACCAUUCUUCCCAUUUUCAUUUCCGCUUUGGUCAGGAUAUGGUGCAGAGCCAAGUACAAAGGAGACACAUGAGGUUUUCAAGCCAACAGCAGUACAUUCAAAAAGCCCAAUCAAUGUUGAUGAGCUGGUUGGCAUGUCAAAACUGAGUUUAGGAGAGUCAAUUGGUGAUGCUGGCACCUCUUCUCUUUCCCUAAAAUUGGUUGAAGGAUCAUCCAGACAAUCUGCUUUCCAUGCAAAUCCGGGGUCUAAUGCUUCAAACAUGAACUCAAGCAGUAGUCCAAUCCAUGCAGUUUAAAGGCAGCUUUGGCAGAGAUGAGAUCGUAGGUUUAUCUCAGUGCUGAUGAGCUUGAGACACUACCGUUAAUACAAGACAAUAAUGUGCAGUCUGUAUUGGGUUCAUUUACAAUUCGUUUGUGGGAUCUUUUAAUAAAAUUUUCCCCAAAGUAUUAGUAGCUUGUUUUAGUUGGUAGCUUCAGGUAGGCUGGCUGUAGCAUCUUGUCAGAAAUUAUUUGAAUCUUUAACAUCUGUAUUAAUUUUAAGUUGUAUGUUACUAUGCUGCUUCUCUCUUGAUUUUAUAGUGCCAAAAUUAGCAGAAU